rnacentral:lncRNA from 1 species
UGUGAGCCGCUGUGCCCAGGCCAAUCCCAGAGAUUUUGAAGAUGAUUUCUCGAUACGAGUUUCACGAAGACUUGAAAAGAAUGUGUCCUCUGUUGUUGGAUGGAGUGUCCUUGAAAUGUUCAUUAGCCUUCUAGCUCCAUUCAGAAGAGCCUCCGAAGUAGAGACCAGAAAUCCUUCUAGUGGGCUGUGCUUUGAGCAGUACUGCUUGUUGACUGCUUUACUUGGAAGGAGAGAUCGACUGAGCCUGGCAGUGUUGCCCAGGAGGAGGCAGUGGAGUUAAGAAGCCUGGGUCUGAGCUCCUCAGCUGUGCAGACAACUCCUACUUGUUCUUCAACGCUCAACUUUAAGUUCAGUCACCACCUGCAGAAGUCUUCUCCAAAACCUCCCCACCUGGCUGACUAAGGGGCUGGCUUUAUGCUCUUGCAGUACUCAUGCUUCCUACUGUCACAGUUCUGACCACACCGUGGGAAAACGUCUCUAACUAGAGACCUGUCUUGCCUCUUGUGCCUGUAGUACGGGAUGGGUGCCCAGUGUGUGUUGAUUGUAUGAAUCAAUCUCUGUGACUCCAGAGUUCCUUUCUUCAGGAGAUUAGACAUCACCCCUGCAAUCAACAAUGCAAGCCACUGCUGUUUCCUCCAUCCUGAGCAUGAGGAACCUAUCCAGUUUCUCUCUCAGAUGCCAGGGCCAUGAGGCAAGUCCAGCCUUGGCCUAGAACCAAAGAUGGAAACAAAAAGGGGCCAGACUGUGUUGCCUUCUUGAGCCUGGUCUGACUCCUGAGUGGAAGUCUGAUUCCAGGUACAUGAGAUAAGCACUAAUACCUCCAGUUUGCAGAUUAAGAGACUGAGGUCCUGAAGAGGUUAAAGAACUUGGCUCAAGUCACAUAGCUGGUGAGCAGCAAGAUACAAGAAUCAACCCAAGUCCAGGGGGCUGUGUGCCGUUUACACUUCACAUCUGUGCUGCCAGGGCUGUAGCUAUAAAAGCUUGAAAACCAUUACUCUGAGAAUCUCUCUGUUGGGAAAAUGAGUCCCUUCAACUCUAGUUGUUGCCACUGGGAUGCUAACAGAAAGCAAAGUCUCAGAGGAAAGAUGUGGCAUUCCUGAGUGUCUUCCAUGUACCAGGACUUCUAUUUGCUAGCCACUUUAUGUUCCUCAUCCCAUCCUUCUGUGAGGGACAUACUUUUCAGAUGAGAAACGUAAGCUCCGCGAAGCUAAGGGGCCGGACUGAGGUCCCACAGCGAGAGUGUGGAGGAGCCAGGAUCCGAACCCCAUCGCCAGCCCUUGCCAGUUCCAUGAUUCCGGUGCCAGCGCUCGCCUGACCUCCAGGGCUGUCAUGGUGGGAAGGGACUGGAGGGCAUCUGCUGGGCAAAGGAAAGAGACAAACAUCAUCCCAGAGCCUGUCUUCCCUGGGCAAUACCCGGGCCACUCCAGACAUGGCGUCUUUAGCCCUUCCUUGGUCACUGGCCCCCAGGUGAAGAGAGCAUUUUUCUCUGACUCAAGUUCUUGCCUCUGGAUUUGCCAAGCUCCUAUGACAGUCUUCGCCCUUCUGAAGCUCUCUCAGGCUCCCCUUCCAGAAAUCCCGCAGGUUCCACCGACCUCUCUGAGAGCACAGGCGAGUGGUUGAACGGUGGGCUUUAGAGACGGCGCGGCACCAGAGUCCUGUACUGGCUGUGUGAUCCUGAACCUCCUCACUGAGAUUCUCAUCUGCAAGAUGGAGA